GGUUAAGUGACUAAGCGUACAGGGCGGAUGCCUUGGCAAUCAGAGGCGAUGAAGGACGUGCUAAUCUGCGAAAAGCUUGGAUGAGUCGAUAAGAGGCGUUUAAUCCAAGAUAUCCGAAUGGGGAAACCCAGUAGAUGAAGAAUCUACUAUCAAUAAAUGAAUACAUAGUUUAUUGAGGCGAACCGGGAGAACUGAAACAUCUAAGUACCCCGAGGAAAAGAAAUCAACCGAGAUUCUGUGAGUAGCGGCGAGCGAAAGCGGAAGAGCCAGUAAGUUUUAGCUAGCGUAUUAGAGGAAUUGGCUGGGAAGCCAAAUCAAAGAGGGUGAUAAUCCCGUACUCGAAAGUAUGGUAGUGGAACUAAGCUUACGAUAAGUAAGGCGGGACACGAGAAAUCCUGUUUGAAGAUGGGGGGACCAUCCUCCAAGGCUAAAUACUCCUGAUUGACCGAUAGUGAACCAGUACUGUGAAGGAAAGGCGAAAAGAACCCCGGUGAGGGGAGUGAAAUAGAACCUGAAACCCUGUACGUACAAGCAGUAGGAGCGAGGGCAACCUUGUGACUGCGUACCUUUUGUAUAAUGGGUCAGCGACUUAUAUUUUGUAGCGAGGUUAACUGAAUAAGGGAGCCGAAGGGAAACCGAGUCUUAACUGGGCGUUGAGUUGCAAGGUAUAGACCCGAAACCCGGUGAUCUAGCCAUGGGCAGGUUGAAGGUUGGGUAACACUAACUGGAGGACCGAACCGACUAAUGUUGAAAAAUUAGCGGAUGACUUGUGGCUGGGGGUGAAAGGCCAAUCAAACCGGGAGAUAGCUGGUUCUCCCCGAAAUCUAUUUAGGUAGAGCCUUGAGCGGACACCUUCGGGGGUAGAGCACUGUUUCGGCUAGGGGUCCAUCCCGGAUUACCAACCCGAUGCAAACUGCGAAUACCGAAGAGUGAUACUCAGGAGACACACGGCGGGUGCUAACGUUCGUCGUGGAGAGGGAAACAACCCAGACCGCCAGCUAAGGUCCCGAAGUCUAUAUUAAGUGGGAAACGAAGUGGGAAGGCUUAGACAGCUAGGAUGUUGGCUUAGAAGCAGCCAUCAUUUAAAGAAAGCGUAAUAGCUCACUAGUCGAGUCGGCCUGCGCGGAAGAUGUAACGGGGCUCAAAUAUAGCACCGAAGCUGCGGCAUCAGAAUUUAUUCUGUUGGGUAGGGGAGCGUUGUGUAAGCGGAUGAAGGUGGCUCGAGAGGGUUGCUGGACGUAUCACAAGUGCGAAUGCUGACAUAAGUAACGAUAAAACGAGUGAAAAACUCGUUCGCCGGAAGACCAAGGGUUCCUGUCCAACGUUAAUCGGGGCAGGGUGAGUCGGCCCCUAAGGCGAGGCUGAAAAGCGUAGUCGAUGGGAAACGGGUUAAUAUUCCCGUACUUGGUAAAGCUGCGAUGUGGGGACGGAGAAGGUUAGGUAAGCGGACUGUUGGAUAUGUUCGUUUAAGCAGGUAGUUGGAAAGGGUAGGCAAAUCCGCUCUUUCAUACAACAACGAGACGUGAUGACGAGGCUCUACGGAGCUGAAGUUACCGAUACCCAGCUUCCAGGAAAAGCCACUAAGCGAAAGGCUUUACUAAACCGUACUGAAAACCGACACAGGUGGUCAGGUAGAGAAUACUCAGGCGCUUGAGAGAACUCGGGUGAAGGAACUAGGCAAAAUAGCACCGUAACUUCGGGAGAAGGUGCGCUUACAGUAAUUGUAGUCCCUUGCGGAUGAAGGUGAAGUAAGUCGAAGAUACCAGCUGGCUGCAACUGUUUAUUAAAAACACAGCACUCUGCAAACACGAAAGUGGACGUAUAGGGUGUGAUGCCUGCCCGGUGCUGGAAGGUUAAUUGAUGGUGUUAUCGAAAGAGAAGCUCCUGAUCGAAGCCCCAGUAAACGGCGGCCGUAACUAUAACGGUCCUAAGGUAGCGAAAUUCCUUGUCGGGUAAGUUCCGACCUGCACGAAUGGCAUAAUGAUGGCCAGGCUGUCUCCACCCGAGACUCAGUGAAAUUGAAAUCGCCGUGAAGAUGCGGUGUACCCGCGGCUAGACGGAAAGACCCCGUGAACCUUUACUAUAGCUUGACACUGAACAUUGAAUUUUGAUGUGUAGGAUAGGUGGGAGCCUUUGAAGCAGUGACGCCAGUCAUUGUGGAGGCGACCUUGAAAUACCACCCUUUAACGUUUGAUGUUCUAACGAAGUGCCUGAAACGGGUACUCGGACAGUGUCUGGUGGGUAGUUUGACUGGGGCGGUCUCCUCCCAAAGCGUAACGGAGGAGCACGAAGGUUUGCUAAUGACGGUCGGACAUCGUCAGGUUAGUGCAAUGGUAUAAGCAAGCUUAACUGCGAGACAGACAAGUCGAGCAGGUGCGAAAGCAGGUCAUAGUGAUCCGGUGGUUCUGAAUGGAAGGGCCAUCGCUCAACGGAUAAAAGGUACUCCGGGGAUAACAGGCUGAUACCGCCCAAGAGUUCAUAUCGACGGCGGUGUUUGGCACCUCGAUGUCGGCUCAUCACAUCCUGGGGCUGAAGUAGGUCCCAAGGGUAUGGCUGUUCGCCAUUUAAAGUGGUACGCGAGCUGGGUUUAGAACGUCGUGAGACAGUUCGGUCCCUAUCUGCCGUGGGCGUUGGAUGAUUGAUUGGGGCUGCUCCUAGUACGAGAGGACCGGAGUGGACGCAUCACUGGUGUUCCAGUUGUCUCGCCAGAGGCAUUGCUGGGUAGCUAAAUGCGGAAGAGAUAAGUGCUGAAAGCAUCUAAGCACGAAACUUGCCAAGAGAUGAGUCAUCCCUGACUUUAAGUCAGUAAGGGUUGUUGUAGACUACGACGUAGAUAGGUUGGGUGUGUAAGUGUAGUGAUACAUUGAGCUAACCAAUACUAAUUGCCCGAGAGGCUUAACCAU
rnacentral:rRNA from 1 species